GUGAUUCCUGCCCAGAAAGUACUGACAUACCCAAAGGGCUGCUGCUAAUGCUCGCCUGUCACUACCGAGGGGGGAAGCUUCUGGUUCCUACCUUACCAACACUGAAAGCGUUGGUUUGUAAAACUUGCACAGCUUCCAAAGGAGGGGAAGAGAGUUGCUUUACAAUUACAACCAUUUGAAAAAACAGAGCACCUGUCUUCCAGAGUGCCUACCAGGGAGCCUUGCGCAUAGUGGAAACUAAAUAAAAAUCUGUUUAUUCAACUAAUGAAAAUUAUAUGGGAGAGAAAUAUGAGGAAACUAAGCUCACAGUGCUGGAAGUCAAAUGACCAACAGCCCCUGCCUCAGAGUUCACAACUUAGUGCAGGAGAAAGAUGCUGCCAAGGACCUUGUCAGCAGAGAUCUGGAUUGGCUAAUUGUGUUCGUUCUAGCAGACUGCCAGCAUGGUCACAAUUUGAUGGUACUGGACAGAAGGAGGGAAUGAAAACAGAUUACCAGCCCUGCUGCAGGUGCUGAAAGAAGAUGGAAUCAGAGAGUGGGAACCAGGCUGAACUACACAACAGACAGUAGACCACAACAACUGCAGCGGGAUUCUGGGGGCCCCAAAGACCUGUUUCUUGGCUUGCUGUACUUAGACAUUUUAGGGUGGCAUACUGUUUUGAGAAUUUAACCAAACCUUCAAGACUUCUCCUUGCACAACAUUUUAGAGAGGAGUUCAGGGUGUUUCCAGACCUCUUAAAAGCUGUCCAUGGACCACUGUUCACUCUUCUCUGCCAUCCGUCCCACCAGGUGAAGAACCCCUGACUUAAUUCCCGCACCCCGUGUAGCUUGCACCAUUUAACAACAGGUUUAUGGCAUUCUCUGUGUUGUUCACAGCCUCCCUCUGAACCAGUGGGCCUGCAACGCUAGUCUCAUGCUCCACUUCCCAGCCUGGACCCCUUCGUCCUGGUAUCUGACCUGGAAUCUUAUUUCUUCACAUUUGUGUUGUUUCCCCUUUGUACUCUGUCUCCUGCUGUUUUACCUCCUAGACUAGAAUUCUACAGUUCCCCUGGUCAAACUCUAAUAAUCUGCCCCAUAUGAUCUCAUCUAGCCUCUGGGAAGCCCCUGCUUCCCAUCCAACGUCCAUGCGUCUUUGUCCGGAGAACAUUUUUCUAAAUCUUGCUUGGCUUAAGGAUUGGAUCCAGGUUAAAAUAAAAAAUGCCUGUAGGAGAAGUAACA
rnacentral:lncRNA from 1 species